AAACAACUUUAUGCUUGCCUGACUAAGUGAGCCAUUCGACCAUUGUUGCUCAAUUCAUCAAUCCUCAUGGGAUCGACCUUCACUCACCUAAGGUAUUACUCGGUACGAUCCAGUGCACUUGCCGGUUAGUUGUGAAUAUAGAAAAUCUGCACUAGAGGGCAUGGCAACGAGGAUGAGAGUGAGUUUAUUUGGCGAAGGAUGGCACGAGAGAAGGAAUUUAAUACUACAAAAAAUUCUGGUAAAAACGGCAGUUUUUUUGGGUAUUUACGGCGGUUUGAACCGCCAUUAUUACCAAUAAUGGCAGUUUCGUAAAGUGACGUAAUUCUGGGCGCCAUUCUGGUUGUUACGGCGGUUUUCUGAAAACCGCCACAAUUCCCUGGGUUAAAACGGCGAUUUUUGAAUAGGUUAAAAUGGCGGUUCAAACCGCCGUUAUUUCCAGGGUUAAAAUGGCAGUUUUUGGAUAGGUUAAAACGGCGGUUUGAACCGUCAUUAUUACUCUGACAGAGUGGUGUUUUGGUUGGUUAAAAUGGCAUUUUUGAACCACCAUUUUUACCCUGACAAUAGCGUUUUGGUUGGUUAAAAUGGCAUUUUUGAACUGCCGUUUUACCCUGACAGUGACAUUUUUUAUCGUUGUUUUUAACAAUUUUUACCGUCAUUUUUAUCGCGUUAAAUAAAUAAUUUUAUGAUUAAAAUUUCACAAUAGCAAAAAAUUAUAAUCCAUAAAUGAAAUAUUAUAUAACUCAAAAACAAAAUAUUAAUAUAAUAUAUAAUUUUUUAUUAUUGAAAAUCAAAAGUAAUAACUCCUAUACAAAAUCUUGUCUUACUAAACUUACCAAAAUACAAGCAUUGCAAUAAACACUAAUCAGUCAAGACUAAUAAUGUAUUUAAACCAUCUAAUAAGUGCUGUUUUUACUACUUAGAAUAUGAAUAUACAAGACAAGUAGCUUAGCUAAGUGAUGAUGAAUAAGAUUUGGAGGCCAAAAGUUUCCUCCUUCUGCGACAGCAAACUCGGUGGAACUUCGCGUCUUCGGAUGGAAUUUUAGAUCUGAGAGAUUGGGU